rnacentral:rRNA from 1 species
ACUCCUACGGGAGGCAGCAGUGGGGAAUAUUGCACAAUGGGCGCAAGCCUGAUGCAGCCAUGCCGCGUGUAUGAAGAAGGCCUUCGGGUUGUAAAGUACUUUCAGCAGUGAGGAAGGUGGGUAUGUUAAUAGCAUACUCAUUUGACGUUAGCUGCAGAAGAAGCACCGGCUAACUCCGUGCCAGCAGCCGCGGUAAUACGGAGGGUGCGAGCGUUAAUCGGAAUUACUGGGCGUAAAGCGCAUGCAGGUGGUUUGUUAAGUCAGAUGUGAAAGCCCGGGGCUCAACCUCGGAAUUGCAUUUGAAACUGGACAAACUAGAGUACUGUAGAGGGGGUAGAAUUUCAGGUGUAGCGGUG